ACGAACGCUGGCGGCGUGCUUAACACAUGCAAGUCGAACGGAAAGGCCCUGCUUUUGUGGGGUGCUCGAGUGGCGAACGGGUGAGUAACACGUGAGUAACCUGCCCUUGACUUUGGGAUAACUUCAGGAAACUGGGGCUAAUACCGGAUAGGAGCUCCUGCUGCAUGGUGGGGGUUGGAAAGUUUCGGCGGUUGGGGAUGGACUCGCGGCUUAUCAGCUUGUUGGUGGGGUAGUGGCUUACCAAGGCUUUGACGGGUAGCCGGCCUUAGAGGGUGACCGGCCACAUUGGGACUGAGAUACGGCCCAGACUCCUACGGGAGGCAGCAGUGGGGAAUAUUGCACAAUGGGCGGAAGCCUGAUGCAGCAACGCCGCGUGCGGGAUGACGGCCUUCGGGUUGUAAACCGCUUUCGCCUGUGACGAAGCGUGAGUGACGGUAAUGGGUAAAGAAGCACCGGCUAACUACGUG
rnacentral:rRNA from 1 species